UCGCUUGUGGCCCAGGGGGGCCACUCACAGUCACGCACCGUGAAAUGCCUACUGGGUGUCGCCCGCCGUCUUAGGCGCGGGGACACGGCGUGGAGGGACAGGCAUGGUCCCGGGCCUGGGGGACCGGAGUGCUGGGAGGGGCCAUCGCGGUGGCACCUUCGCACCCUCACCUCCUUCCAGCCUUAGCUCGGUCGGCCUCUGCGUUCACCCUACGGUGAGGAAACAGAGGCUCUGAACGAUCGGCUGGCGCUAGUAUCACACAGCUGAGGUUUGUCCGUGGCCCAGCUUCCCUCCCAAAGCCUGAGUAAUGUAGAAAAAUCGCAGCCCAGCAUAAACGAGUCAGCCUAGGGGCCACCCGGGAUCACGCUGGCAAGCGGAAUUCUUGGCUCAAUCACUCUGAAGAGAAGAGAAGAGAAGAAAAUGGUAUAUGAUGAAGUCUCCUCCCCUCCCCUUUUCCCCUCGUGUCUGGCUUCCUACCUCACCUCCAUCUCAGGUACGAUUGUUGUUUUUCUCGUGUAUGCUCUUCCAGAGGUGUUUAUGCACUUGUAAACAGGUACAAAUAUCUCUGUAAACCCUCCCCCCACUUUACCCAAAGGUAGCAACACAAAAGGGUGUUUUGAGCAUACUGUUCUAUACCUUGUUCUGUUCGAUCAUGAAGUAGAUUGUGGAACUAUGCAUAGCAGUACACAGAGAGAAGGCCCCCCUCCUCUGUCUGUCUUUCCAGCUGCAGACUUCUCCACGGCACACCUUCAUCAUCAUCUAUUC